CACAGUGCUUGGCCUCCCUAAGCCACCCCCUAACAACACUCCAAAUUCAGACUUUAAAAUAUUAUAAAGUCUGCAUUGGGGGUGUUGUCAGCGGGUGGCUCAGGGAGGCUGAGCACUGGGUC